ACCAAAUAAGAAGGUCCCGCCUGCCCUGUGCACUAGAUGCUAUAACGGCCGCGGUUAUUUUGACCGUGCGGAAGGUGGCGCAAUCUCUUGUCUUUUAAAUGGCAGACCUGUAUGAAUGGCACGACGAGGGCUCUAACUGUCUCCUUUCCUUAAUCAAUGAUAAUUGAUCUCUCCGUGCAGAAGCGGGGCAUAAACCCAUAAGACGAGACAGACCCUAAGGUAGUCUUCAGACACAAAAACACCUCACGUAUAAAAACCCUCACAAAAGAGGCACACAACAUAGGAUGCACCACCUGCUCCUAAUGUCUUUGGUUGGGGCGACCACGGGGCAACAAAAAACCCCCGCGCGGAACACAAACACUGUCUUCCAGAACCAAGAGCACCCGCUCUAAGUAACAAGACCCUCUUGACCUUUGAGAUCCGGAACAAGCCGAUCAACGGACCGAGUUACCCUAGGGAUAACAUCGCAAUCUUCUUCGAGAGCUCAUAUCGACUAGAAGGUUUACGACCUCGAUGUUGGAUCAAGACAUCCUAAUGGUGCAGCCGUCUAUUAAGGGUUCGUUUGUUCAACGAUUAAAUUCGUACGUGAUCUGAGUUCUAACCGGAUCUGAGUUCAUACCGG
rnacentral:rRNA from 1 species